rnacentral:lncRNA from 1 species
ACACUUGCACCUUCAACUAGUUGUUUAAGAAACUAUAAUUCUGUGGAAAAAAGUUAAGCAUGCAGCUACAAAGCCAAUUACUAAUUCCUUCCCCUUUCUCAAAUGUCACUUAUAUCAGCACCUACAGAUACAUACCAACAGUUUUCUGCCGUACUAUGCUUCUUGCCUUUUCAGUUCCUGGAGAUCCAGUGGUUGUAGCACUCCGUUGUCUCAUUGGCGCCUGUCCAGGCUGAUCACGGCUCCAGCCUCUAGAAAAGGACUUAUCCACAGAAGACUUGGGGAAUUCAUGCCCAACUCCUUUGCCUUUGUGUUUUUUCUGCUUCUGCUCGCUUAACUUAUCCAAUGGCAGGUCACUGAGGUCCAGACUAUACAAGUUUCUAGCUAACACUUUAGUUAGG